CCGUUGGUGAACCAGCGGAGGGAUCAUUACCGAGUUUACAACUCCCAAACCCAAUGUGAACGUUACCAAACUGUUGCCUCGGCGGGAUCUCUGCCCCGGGUGCGUCGCAGCCCCGGACCAAGGCGCCCGCCGGAGGACCAACCAAAACUCUUUUUGUAUACCCCCUCGCGGGUUUUUUUAUAAUCUGAGCCUUCUCGGCGCCUCUCGUAGGCGUUUCGAAAAUGAAUCAAAACUUUCAACAACGGAUCUCUUGGUUCUGGCAUCGAUGAAGAACGCAGCGAAAUGCGAUAAGUAAUGUGAAUUGCAGAAUUCAGUGAAUCAUCGAAUCUUUGAACGCACAUUGCGCCCGCCAGUAUUCUGGCGGGCAUGCCUGUCCGAGCGUCAUUUCAACCCUCGAACCCCUCCGGGGGGUCGGCGUUGGGGAUCGGCCCUGCCUCUUGGCGGUGGCCGUCUCCGAAAUACAGUGGCGGUCUCGCCGCAGCCUCUCCUGCGCAGUAGUUUGCACACUCGCAUCGGGAGCGCGGCGCGUCCACAGCCGUUAAACACCCAACUUCUGAAAU
rnacentral:rRNA from 1 species